AAGAUCCCCUUCCCCUGCCCAUUCCUUCUUACUCACACCUUUUCUGUCAAGAGCUCAAACACUUGAGACAGGUGAGGAACCAUCCAAACCUUGUCCAGACUAACCAGUGUGACCACUGCAACCUUAUUCCAGUUUCCAGAAAAGUAUUUCAAUGUGCACUGACACUAGGCUCUUAGAUGUCCUUCUCCUUGCUGCAGCACAAGGGAAGAAGGAUGUCAGUUUGCCAGAGUACACUGUUUAAACCAGCUUAACUACCAGCUGAGGGGAACUGUGUGGUUAGAAGAAACAGGAUCAUUUUACCAAGUUAUUGAAGUGGAAUGCCUCAGGUGACAUGAGUGACAGAUUGGUUUCUUUACGUUGAUGGUUUUGCAAGACUUGUCUUUGAUUUGAAGAUGAGUGACCCAACCCUUUACUAAUUUUGCUUCAACCAUGCUUCCAGAAGAAAAACAGCAAAUAAAAGUCAGUUGCUUGUGUCUACCUUCAGGUUCAGAGAUUUUCCUUUACACAGCUGUCUGAAUGCUGAAGUGUUUACUACUGAAGAAGAUCAAAAACUGCCUUGUGUUACUAAAGAAGCAUUAAUUCUCUCUAGAUCUGAGAGAAGUUGUCAGAAGAUUUUUCAAUUGCAACCUAGAUUUAUAAUUUGAUGGUAUGUAGUUCAUAACAAGUCUGAACCUGUAGAACCUGGAACAUUUAGAUAAUUUAGUUCUCAUUAAUUUGCAUUUAUUUGUAAUCUUCAUGUAGUUGUGCAACUCUGUUAAAAGGACACAUAUUCUAAUCUUGUUUACACUGUCUGUAUAGUAGUUUAAGCUUUAUGGAUUUAAUUUGAUGAUAGAAAAGAGAGGAAAAUCAGGUUCAAAGUGUAUGAGAUUUAGACGUGUAAGACCUGCAUGUGUGAGCAUGCCUUGUUAGCAGGCUUAAAGCAGACAUAUAGAAGUUUUGUUUCCUUCUCAAGACCAGUUCCUCUGUGUCAAGGGAUCAUCAGUUAAUGUUAUCUUCUGAGCCAGCUCAGUGGAUGUCGCAUCAAUCCUGCUUUAAAUUUGCCAACAAAACUUCUCUGCUUAUAUCUGCAGUUAAAAAAUUAGUGUGAUCAUUUCCAGGCAGGAAAUAGCUGCACUCCCAACUGCUAACCCUUGUGGGGUGGCAGGGUAUGACCACACAGCACAGCAUGUGUCUUGCAGGCUUUUCCAAGCCUCAUGCUGUCAUGUGUGUCUCUGUGACAGCAUAAAAAUACACAAACCUGCCUGUACCUUUUCAUGUUUGCUACUACCAGUAAGGAUGCGCUGCUACAAGUGAAACGUGAGGAAACUGUCAUUCUCAGUUAAUAUGGGCUUUAUUAUGAGACUGAAUUUACUUUGGGAUAGACCCAAGGACCAGCUCUUUUUUGUUUCCCAAGUGGGUACCUAUACUAACAUAGAUUGCACUGAGAUAUUGCUAAGUAUCACUUUCAGCUUGACAGAGGAGCUUUGUUCAAAAUAUCCAUUUCAAAUAUUCUGAUAUUGAUACUCUGAAAUUCUACAGCACAUAUUUUUAUAUAUUUGAAGAACCAAAUGAACUUGCUUUACUCUUCUCAGACUGUAGCCAGCACCAGUAAUCAGUACCAGAACUGUGUAAGAGGGUUUUGUUUCAAAAUUCAGAUGUUUUCUGCUUUUCAUUUGGUCUCUAUUUGAGGCCAAGUGAAUUUUUCCUUUUUGUGCCUUUUUUGGAGCUGCUUGAUAUACUUCCUCAAGUGCAGCAGAAGGUGAAAAGUACAUGAGAGACAGAAAGGAUUUCUGAAGAAGAGGAUGUGACAUCAGAAAAAGGGAAGUUUGGAAAUUGUAGCUUUUCUGCACAUUAAGACACUCUUUGUUGUACCUUAAUGCAAUACUGGAUCCUAAUUUAACCUGACUUAUGCUAUGCUUGUUACCAUUCCCUCUUGUAAUCAGCACACUCUUAGAAACAGUAGUGCAUAUGCAAACUGCCUAUUACUAAGUUUUGAUUGUGAAAUUUACAAUUUUGAUUCUGUGGUGUCAUCACCUGCUUUUUAAUGUAUAAAUGGCUCUACAAGCAGUGAGACAUAAAAGAAAUGGGCCUCGUUUUAGUAAUGCCUGUGAAAAUUAGUAAAAAAGUGUAUCUAGCUGAUUCAGCUUGAACUAUUUUAUUUUUUGCUUUUCUAUGAAGAGGAAUAGAAGCAAGACAUGAAGUCAUAGGAAUUUUUUCAUAUGUGUUGUAUUGGUGACAGUCAUUUUUUUGCAGCAUGAUU